GUAGUCGUGGCCGAGUGGUUAAGGCGACAGACUUGAAAUCUGUUGGGAUAUUCCCGCGCAGGUUCAAAUCCUGCCGACUUCG
rnacentral:tRNA from 1 species